rnacentral:rRNA from 1 species
AGAGAUGAUGCUCGUGUGUACAUAUAUACACAAACGAGUGUAUUAGAUUCCUUGUGACAUCCCACUCGAUAACCGAUAAUACUACGUUGCUGUUUUGGGUUCCAGUGACCAAGCGAAAGCGAUAAGUUAUCCCACCUUGGGGGAGUACGACCCGCAAGGUUGAAAACUCAAAGGAAUUGACGGGGCCCGCACAAGCGGAGAACAUGUGGUUUAAUUCGAUGAUACGCGAGGAACUUACCCGGGCUCGAACGGCAGAUGAACAAUCCAGAGAUGGUGCGGCCCUUUCGGGGCAUCUGUCGAGGUGCUGCAUGGUUGUCGUCAGCUCGUGCCGUGAGGUGUCGGCUUAAGUGCCAUAACGAGCGCAACCCUUGCCGUCAGUUACCAGCACGUGGAGGUGGGGACUCUGGCGGGACUGCCACCGCAAGGUGUGAGGAAGGGGGGGAUGACGUCAAAUCAGCACGGCCCUUACGUCCGGGGCGACACACGUGUUACAAUGGGAGUUACAGAGGGGCACUACCUGGUGACAGGAUGGGAAUCUCGAAAAGCUCUCUCAGUCCGGAUCGGAGUCUGCAACCCGACUCCGUGAAGCUGGAUUCGCUAGUAAUCGCGCAUCAGCCAUGGCGCGGUGAAUACGUUCCCGGGCCUUGUACACACCGCCCGUCAAGCCAUGAAAGUCUGGGGCGCCUGAAGUUCGUGACCGUAAGGAGCGACCUAGGGCGAAACAGGUAAUUGGGGCU